ensembl:lncRNA
CAGGGAGCCGGAGUUGAACUGAGAGCCGGGGGUAGGUAGCUGGAAACGGCCGCUGAGGCAGCAGCAGCAGCAGCAGCUCCAUCCAUCAGCCGGCUGCCGGAGGUCCGUGUCUGGCUGGGCCCCAGAUGUAAAGCACCCCUGGGCCCCCCAUCCUGAGACCUGAGGCCCCCUAGCCCCUGAUCGGCCCAGAGAACCGGCCCGUACCCAGGGACGAGCCGCCUCUGUGGGCUAAGCCGCCGGGCUCAGCCGCCGGGCUCCUCCGGGUUCGGCCAGCGGUGUGGCUUCUGGACGGACGCAGCUCAGAGCUUUGUUGUGGCUCCCUCUGUCUGCUGAUGACGUGGGUCCCUGACUGACUCAAGUAACAUAAUCCGGAGGAGGAUUUGUACACUGAGAGUGCACACACACACAGAGUGGUUGGGAGGUCGGUCCGUGUCCUUGGCUCUUUGCUGGCGUC